UUUGAGCGUGUGGCACCCUUGCCCCUCCCUUAUUUUUAGAUGUUGCCCUUAAAAACCUAAAACAUGGUAAUGGUUUUUGCUUUUUUAAAAAAAACACAUAAGUGUCCUCAGACACCUGCGUGGCUCAGCUGGAUAAACAUCUGUCUUCAGCUCAGGUCAUGAUCUCAGGACCCUGGGACGGAGCCCCACGUUGGGCUCGCUGCUCAGUGGGGAGCCUGCUUCUCCCUCUCCCUCUGCCCCUCCUCUCCAUCAGCUCAUGCACUGUGAUGUGCCCUGAAUAUAGCUCUGGGUUACCAGUUUACUGCCUACGAUUAGCUGGAGCUGGGAGGAGAAAGGUCUUGACAAGGAGUGUUGUGUUCAGCCCCCAAGAUGGGCCCCUUGAUCACUGCCUUGUUUAUGCCUCUGUAUAGUUUCCUUCCAGCUGUCUCAAGGCUGGUCCGUGUGGCCAGAGAAUAUGGUACAAGUGAUGGUACAUUGCUUUUGAAGUGAGCUUAUUAAAACCAUUGGGGACUCUCUCUCUCUCCCCCAUAACUUGCUCUGAGGGAAGUAAGAACACUCAGAUAUGAGGCCUUCUGCCAAAAGCCACAUCCUGUGAGUGAUCCGUGUUAGCAGCAGAUCUCCUGGGGCAGUCAAGCCUCCAGCUGACGGCAGUGCUGACCGACUGUGUGGCUGCAGCCUCUCAAGGGGCUGUGGGUCAGGAUGACUCUUUAAGCCACUUUCAGAUUUUGGCCUCAGAAACCGUGGGAGAUGAUAAAUGUUAUCGUAAGCCCCUGGAUUUGGGGGUAAUUUGUUAUGCGGCAGUAGAUAGCUAGUACAGAAAAUGAGACCCAUUCAUUCACUUUAUCGCUUAACACAUUACUUUUGAGCCGCUACUAUGGGUCAAGAACUACCCUGAGCACUGGAAAUGCAGCAGGUGAACAAAGUAGACAAAGUCUUUACUCUCAUAGAGCUUUCACUCUGGUCAGGGGAGAGAGAUAAUGAAGGGGAAAAAAUAGAUAUGCCAGAAGGUGAUAAAUGCUAUGGAGAAAAAGCAGUGUAAGGAUGGGAUGAAGGGCAUAUAAAGGCAUGAUAUUGAUAUUUUAUACAGGUUGGUCAAAGGAGGCCUCUAAUCAAGUGCUAUUUGAGUGGAGACCUGAAUGAGAUGAGAAAACAGAUAUACAGGGAAGAGCAUACAGGGCAAAGGGAACAGUGGGUAGGGUGGCUCAGCACCCACUCCCUUCAUACCAUUCCUUUGCUCAUCCUCAGGACAGGCUACUUCACAUCUGGCCAAAAGUGCUAAAUCAGCCUCCCAAAUACCUCUAGCUUAUGCUUUACCCUACCUACUAUGGUCUCUUCUCAACAAAACUCCCAAAGUGAUCAUACUAAACCCUAAAUGAGACCAAGUCAGUGCUCCACGUAAACUCCAUAAGGAUUCCUUAUUUCAUUCAGAAUAAAAACCAAAAUCUUCAUCAGGCUUACAAGACCCUACACGAUCUGGUCCCUCACUGACAUUUCAGCCAAGUCAGUGCUCCACGUAAACUCCAUAAGGAUUCCUUAUUUCAUUCAGAAUAAAAACCAAAAUCUUCAUCAGGCUUACAAGACCCUACACGAUCUGGUCCCUCACUGACAUUUCAGCCCCUCCCCACCUAGUCCCUCCCUCCCUCACUCAAUCUCUCAGGUAUUCCAUCCCAGCCACAGUGGCCUCCUUGCUGUCCCUACAAAUUGCCGGCAAAUUCCUGCCUUAGGGCCUUUGCUCUGGUGUCCUUUCACCUGGAAUAUUCUUCUCUUCCUCACUUCCUUUAGCCUUUGCUCAGAUCCUAUCAUGUCAAUGAAGUUCACCUUAAUCAUGUUGUUUAAUUCUGCAACCUGUUCUCCUCCCCACCUACAGACCCAUAGCCCCUAAAUCUGAUCUUCUUUCUUUUUUCUCCAUAGCACUUAACCCUUUGAAUAUUAAGGAUUUAUAUUUUUAGUUUACUAUGUAUUUCUGUCCACUAGAAUGUAAGUGCAAAAGGAUAGGAAUGCCCUUCUUUUGACCCCCUGUGGCUUUCCAGGUACCUGCAUUACUAAAUUGCUUAAUAAAUGGGUGAGAGUUCCUCUUUUUCGGAUGACUGAUUUGUGACUUCUCCUCUCGGGGCCUGUUUCUUCUCGAUAAAAGGAUGAGAUUGGUCCCUUCUAGGCUGUUCUGGGCUGCAUGGCAUCUCACAAAAUCCACCUGGACUGUGGACAAAAGACAUGGACAAUAAGAGCUUACUCCCAGGCGUCUGCCAUUCAAAAUGCACUUGAGGGGGCACCUGGAUGGCUCAAUCCGUUGGGUGUCUGCCUUUGGCCCAGGUCAUGAUCCCAGGGUCCCGGGAUCGAGUCCCGCAUCAGGCUCCCUGCUCAGUGGGGAGUCUGCUUCUCUCUCUGCCCUUCCCUCCUGCUUGUGAUCUCUCUCUCUCAAAUAAAUAAAUAAAAUCUUUAAAAAAAUGCACUUGAGGACAAAAAAAAUUUUUCCCCUGCAGUAAGUCACCAACCUGGUCCUUUACCAUACUCUUCUCUCACGCUCAUCUUUGCAAAGCUUCAGGAACAGAUAUCCAGACAAGUAAAGGAGCCCAUGGUUCAUUAAGAAGAGACUCUGAAGGGGAUGCAUACAGUAUGAUGCUAUGAUGCUAUGAUGCCCCUUUGGAAAUUAAAACACAGAAAGCCAUAUGACAUAUUUCUGUUGGCCUCACAUCUGUAUAGAAAAGUGCAAUACACAUGGGAGUCAGGUACCAACUCCGUUAGAGUGGUUUCCUCGCAGGAGCACAUACAGCUCUUAGGAACAGACAUAGCUGUGGUGCUGUAUUUCUGAGAGAGAGAAAGAGAAUUCUGAGGCAAAUGUCUCAAAAUAUCAACACUGGUUAAAUCUGGCUAUUGUUUCUCGUGUGUUCUCUAUUUGAUAUAAUUCAGCCUCUAGAGAAAAUGAUUUUGAAACAGCUGCAAUGGGAAAGUUGCCCUAGCACUUCUCCGAUGCUGUUGCAGGCCCAGGGCUCCACAGGGUGGAAGCUGGGCACUCGCAGUUCCCGGUGUGAAACCCAGUGAUCCAGCUCCUCAGGAAACAAAGGUGAAGGGCUGAGCCCUGGUGGCCAGUGGCCCCUCCUGUGCAUCCCUGAUCAGCCCCCUGCCGCGGGGAGAUGAGCACAUUAAGCUCAAUGAUUUCUGUGUUGCGAAUUCUUCAGAGAUGAGGAAAAAGGUCAACUGAGGAAUGAAAAUGUGUGCAAGAAUUGGCAGUGUAUAUCACAUAUUACUAAUGAAUGGAAUGUAAAAUGCAUUUCAACAAAGGUGUUAAGGAUUCAAAGUCGAAAUAUGAUUUGAGAGAUAGUAUGGUGAGAGAGAUGCAGACAAAGAUAACCAUGCAAAUGAGAAACCACACUGGAAGCACAUACUUUUGGCAGGGCAACAUCAAGGGAGAAGAUUCUCCAGGAAGCUACAAAUCCAAUGACAGGAAUUGUCUUCUUUUGGCAGAAAUGGUACAAAAUUCAGUAAGUAACCCAUAGUCAACUGUGAUCUGGAAGCAAAUGAUGCUUCCAACUCAUCACCAGGUCAACAGUAGCCCAACUCUGUGUCAACACCUAUGUCAUUCUCUUCACUUCAUCUCAUCACGAGGCAUUUUAUCAUCUCACAUCAUGACAAGAAGGAUUUUUUCCUAGGUCACAAAUGAAAGUUCUUCAAAAAGCACCCUUGCUAAUGGCUCCCUCCUGUUCCAACAAGAGAUGAGGCACCACAGGCUGCUUCACUAUUCUGGGACAGUUGUUCACUUUAGCCAGAUUUCAUUUGUAUGAAAACGCUGGAAAGGCAGCUGUGGGGACAGGUCAGUGUGUUGUGCUUGGGGGCUUGCACCCCUAGGCCUGGCCUGUCUCUAGGCUUGACUCCGUCUGCACCAACAGAAGCUCAAAGAGGUAGAAGACCUGGCCCGGGGGACUUUUUUUUUUUUUUUUUUUUCACACCUCGAUGGGAAGGAGUUGGCGGUAAAGGGUUACAGGAUUAGACAGCUAAGCUGAAGGGCCGCACCUGGAGGCAGUCCUGCACGCUGAAUUUACAACAGGAGCCUGGGAGUCGUAUAAAUGAGUAAUGCUUCAUGAUGCUGUUUUCCAAGCGAGCUGCAAAAAUUGGCAGGGGCCCUUCAGUGUGCUGUCGAUGUGUCUGGAAUUCAAAUAAUUUGAUUCUGAGAUACAAUGACAAUGGGGAAGCAAGGCAUUACCUUGACAGAAUGAUGGCCGAGACAGCUGCUGCAACCCAUAUUCAUGGAAGAUGGUGCACUAACAACCGCUCUCUAUCGGCCGUCCUCCCUGAAAUCUCCAUCCUGCAUCGUCGCGGUUGCCCUUACUCAAGGGCAUUAAAUUAAAAAGUCGUGUAGCCGAUAAUUCUUUUUUUUCCCUCCCUCCCCCCUUUUCCCUAGUCCAGGCACUGAAGGAUGGGGAAAGUGAAAUAAAAGCCUUGACUGAAACGGAUGUCUCUUUCAAAAAAAAUGAUGCUGACAUUAGACACAGCUCCGAGGAGCGCAUUUGAAUAUCGGUGCAGGGCAGCGCACAGCAGAACUUGCUGCUGCCUCUUUUGAAUUUGUCUUUGUUGGCUGAACACGUUAAUAUCUUUCCAAGGUAUAAUAGCUGGGAGGAUUCCGUCAGAAAUAACAGGAGAUCUGGUGAGCUGGGGCCUGUUACCUUCCAAAUCACAAGGCAUCUUGCUUGUGCCGGUUGUCAUUUCUGUUGGGGGAACUGAUACGCAGGUUCCGACUUUAUCUGCCCCAAUAUAGUGCUCACACCACCUCUUGUGUGUAGCGUGUUUGGCUUUUCUGAAGCACUUUUUAAAAAAGCCUUUUUACCCAGGGCAGAGCAUUCUGGAAAACUCCAGACCCCAGACAGGGGCUGUGAGCUGCUGGUCGAGAUUUUAGAUUUGCCAUUGUGGGUUUCUUUCUCUGGAUUUCCUUUUCUCCAUUUGGAAAAGGAAAGUGUUUGUCUUUCCCUCCAGGUCCCCGGUUCCCUGAUCCUAUGAUCUCAUUGGACCACUUACUACUAAUAGGAGGAUGGGCAGUUCCCAGGUAUCUUCACUCCAGAUUUCCUACAAAGAUCAUACUCCUUUAAGAUGAAUUUGACAAGUGUAUCAUUCUAUUAAUCUAAUGAUUAGUUCUCAGAAUGUGAAUAUGUAAAUAAUAAUUGCAGCCAUUUAUGUAGCAUUUACUAUGUGACAGGUUAACUGUUCUAAUGCAUUAUUUAUUUUCACAACAACCUUGUGAUGGAUGUAGGUGAGAAGUGUUGUUCCAAUUUUGAAAUUGUAAGAAAUAAUUUAAAAUAUAUCUUGUUUCUUUUUUAAAAAUAAUUUUAUUUACUGAGAGAUAGAGAGCAUAGCGGGGGGUAGAGGUGGAAAGGGAAAGGGAGAGAGAAUCCCAA